AAAAAAAAAAAGAAAAUUACAAUAGGUUUACGAAUAAUGUAAAAUUCUAUCAUUUUUUAUGAUAUGAAAUUUUAUAGCAGAAUUUCAAAUACAACACCACAAUAAUUAAACCUUAAUUCCAAACUGGAAUUGGCUAUAUGAAAUGGAUUCUUAUAGCAAAACUUUAAAUAAGGAAAAAAAGAAAAAAAGAAAAAAUCUACUUAUUCACAUAUAGUUCUCUUGCUAUGCUUCUCAUUCACUUUCUCUCUUUCUUUGUCUGGAAGUUGAAUAGGACAUAUGAAGCUGACUUUUGAUUUCACAUGAAGACAUGAUUGCCCCAUAAAUAAAUUAUGUAAUCUAGAGUAAUAGCUUUCUUUUGCUAUUAUAGGAGAGGAUUCCAAGAUUGCAUUAAAAUUAUUAAUUGCAUGUUUCUCCUUGCAAUUAGAGCUGGCUACAUUAUAAUAUUAUAGCAACAAAGUUGCUAUCCAGACACUGCUGAAUUGUAUUGUAGGCUUAGUUUGACCCCAGCAGACAUAGAUGGUAGGCAGAACCACACUAGUUGUUAAUUCCUCCACAUACACUUUCUUUCCUUUUGAUUCUCUGUGUAUAGAAUUUAUGUUCUCAUUGCGACCGAGGAACCUACCGUGCUUUUGAGAGGCAUAUGGAAAUUUUAAAUUUGAGUAUGCUGUCCUUUAAUCAUCUUCAUUCGGCUUCUUCUUCUUCUUCCUCUUCAUUGUUCUCUUUUGUUCCUUUUCUUCUUUCAUCCGUCACCCUCUUCUUUUUCUCUGCAUUGAAGUCUUUCUCUUUUACUCUUUAAAAGGAAAGUAAAUCGGAGACACUUGAAAGAACAAAAGAAAGGAAAUUCUAUCCUCCAUUAACGGUCUCGAUAUAAGUGUCAAAGUAUUUUGCUUUUCUUUUUCCUUCCAUGCACUUGUCAUCGUUGCUAUCAUCUUAAAUCUUUAUUGUCCCAACUUUUUUUAAGCUUUUAAUUUAGAACCACUGAAAGUCUUCAUUUGUUGAUUCUUUUAUCGGUCAUUCCAUCAUUUUGUGAUAAUUUUUCUGCAGAUGGAUUCUGUUAAACCAUCUUCCGUGACUCCAAAAAAGAGUAGCUUGGCACGCACGGUGGCGAAAGUUCUUCAUCUUCGUGCUGCAACUGGGAUUGCUCCAGUUGAUGGUGUGCAAAAAGUCAAGUCCCAGGAACAGGUCAAGAAUGAUAAUAAGAUUGGCAAUAAGAGCACAAUCAGUCUGCGUCAGUCCUUCAACAUCAGCAAUGAUGACGAACACCAAAAGAGUUUGGCUGUGGAAGCUCUUCUUGCAAAACUGUUCGCCAGCAUUUCUUCUGUUAAAUCAGCAUAUGCUCAGUUACAGUGUGCGCAGUCUCCUUAUGAUGUUGAUGGGAUCCAAGCAGCUGAUAAAUUAGUGGUUUCCGAGUUGAAGAAUUUGUCUGCGUUGAAACAGUGCCAUUUGAAAAAACAGUUUGAUCCUUCUCCGGAGACUACUUUGCUGUUGGCUGAAGUUCAGGAGCAAAAGAGUGUUUCAAAGACCUAUGAAAUUAUGGGGAAGAAAUUGGAGUCUCAGUUGAGGCUUAAGGACUCUGAGAUCAUAUAUCUUCGAGAAAAAUUGGAGGAAUUUAAUAGACAGAACCAGUUAUUUGAGAAAAGAUUGGAUCGAAGUGGACAGCUGUCUAUGCCUGACAAUCUUCACCUAUCAGGUUUGAGUCCUAGCCAUUUCCUAGCAGUUGUUCGCUUUACAGUCAAGUCGAUCCGAAGCUUUGUCAAGCUGAUGAUUUAUCAGAUGGAAGCUGCUGAUUGGAAUCUUGACGCUGCAGCCAAUUCGAUUGUAUCAAACGUGGUCUACUGGAGAGCUGAUGACAAAUGUUUUGCAUUUGAAUGCUUUGUUUGCAGGGAGAUGUUUGAAGCUUUCAAUUUGCCAAACUUCUCCCUUCCUUGCGAGUCUUUGCCAAAGGGAAAGAACAAGCAACAUUACUUUCUCAGGAGAUUCACAGAACUAAAAUCUGUCAAAGCGAAGGAACAUCUUGCAGAGAAUCCCAAAUCGACAUUUGCAAAAUUCUGCAGAGCCAAGUACUUGCAACUUGUUCAUCCCCAGAUGGAAACAUCAUUCUUUGGCAAUUUAAGCCAAAGAAACCUUGUGAAUUCUGGUGAAUUCCCUGACACUACCUUCUUCACCUCAUUUGCUGAAAUGGCAAAGCGAGUGUGGCUUCUACAUUGCUUGGCCUUUUCUUUCGAGCCAGAGGCCUCAAUCUUUCAAGUACGCAGCGGCUGUCGAUUUUCUGAAGUUUACAUGGAAUGUGUAUGUGAGGAUGCACUGCUUUCGUCCGAAAAUGCACCAGAAGCUGACCCACCAGUUGCAUUCACUGUCGUUCCAGGCUUCAAGAUUGGUAAAACUAUUAUACAGUGCCAGGUUUACCUCUCUCAAAUCCAAACCAAGGUAAAUCGGUAAUCUUCAUUUUCAUGGAUAACAGCACCUCCAGGAAGCUAGACCCACAACAAGGCCAUAGUCAUGAUUCCUCAUGAGUAACCUGGUAGCUGGGUGUCUCCUGUGGGGGCUUGGCUUCUUGAUGUAAGGUAAACCUAAAACGUUGACAUUUGAUCGGACGGUGAGGGUGAUGUGGGCCCACUGACAACAUCAAAAAGCAAGAACUGGAGGCCAUGGUCAUGAUUUUUCAUCUUUUGUAUUUUGAGUAAAGAAAUGGUUGAUGAUGGAAGAAAUGUGGCUUUGCCUUGGUUUUGUGGCCAAUUUGAAAGGGAGAAAGAAAGGGUAGAUGGCAACCUUUGAUUUAAUUAUUAGAAUUAUGGAAGACAUGGUUGCAAAUUUGUUAAUAUUAGGCGAAUGACACAAGGAUUUGUUUAUUCUCGUUUAUCAAUGUUAUGAUGUUUUUCAUGUACAUAAUAAAAUAAUAUAGUGGGGGGAGUCUUUUAUAUAUAUAUAUAUUAAUAUGAGUGAGUGAAUUCCAACUCGUUUAUAGCUUUGGAUGCCUUCCCAGAAUGGUGC
rnacentral:misc_RNA from 1 species